rnacentral:lncRNA from 1 species
AUGCGAAUAGCACUUGUUUGUCCCAUUUUAUUUAAUCGGCCUUUAUCAUCAAGAGUGGCUUAGAAAGGGCCCAUAUUGCUUGCGUUAUCGCUCAUUGCUCCAUUUACACUUUGAUAACCUACAAAAGAUUCAAAAAUAGAAAAAAGUAAAUUACACCACUCCGGGUAUUCCUAAGUAAGAAUGACACCACACAAGUGAAAUUUGUAUUUCACUCCCCAGCAACGGUGCCAUUUUGAUAAUUCUCAACUCACUCUCAUAAUUGAGGGGUGAGACGGUCGUUGUCAAGUAACCCAAUUGAAUUGGAGUUAAAUAUUGAGGAGCAAAUUAUAGAUUUCAAACCCUAUGGGUGCUCAAAUUACAAUGAGGUUACCCGUAAUGCAAACAAAAACAACAUGCAAAAUAAAAUGGGGGCAGUUGUUUGGAAACUUGUUGUACAAUCUUUAGCUGAAGAUCAAGAGAUGAAACUUUCAUUUUAACCAACAAUUUUGGGAGAAAUAUUUGGAUUAUGUCUACUUAAAGGUAAAAGUAUGUGGGUUAAUGAUGGUUAAGUAUGAAAUUUAGUUGUUAACUAAAGGAUAGGCUAGGUCGAAGGUCAUCGUGGUUAAUCUUUUGAUAGAACCACAACUAUUUCACCCCUUGGCUCUUUCUAACACCUAAAUAGUGUGAAAUUCAUAAUCACCUAAAACCUUAAUCAAUAAUCCUUAUUUCUUGGAUGAUGUUCUUGACAUGAUUUACACUCCUAAUACACUUAUUACUAAGAUUGAAAAAGGGAGCAAACCAGGCUUAAUUGUCCACCAUUGCCUUAUCCCCCUAUAACUCUCUUUCAAGGAUGUUAUGGGUUACCUCAUGUUCACUUUCAUCCCUCUUUUAAGGAUAAUAAAUGGUUUCUAGAGUUUGGAGGUUUCACCCAUCAAACCCAUUUGGAUAUUUGGGGCUUUCACCCAUAAAAUUACAAAUCAUAAGCUCAAGCAAUAGUGAAAUACUUACUCAACAACUAACAAUUAUGCAAACACAACCAUACUCAUGCAGAAAUUACACUUUAGUUCAAUAUAAUCCCAAGACUAAAUAACUUAGCUACUCAUAAAGAAAGUAUAGAGAGAUAUACCAUAAGGAUUUUUCAAAGCAUUCAUUCUUCACAAAAAUGCUUAGAAAGCAAGCCUAAAAAAUUGUUUAGAAUUUGAAUUUAAAAUAUCUUAUGAGGUAAAUAAUACCCAAAGAAGAAAAGGUUUUUGCUUAUAUAUUGUUUAGAAUUCGUCUAUGCAAUAUUACAAAUCUCCUCUUAGGUAUAUUUCUGCAGAACCGCAAUCACGUAGGUCUGACCGCCACCAAGUUACGCGAUCACAGUUCUGUUCUACGACCACAUUAUGCUGAAUGUCUUGACUGACCGCGACCGCAGCAUGAUGACCGUGGUCGCGGUAACUAAGGUUGAACAACAUCAGGUCUCAAGCUGCACUCUUUAUAUCCAUUUGAUAUCUUUUUGAUCUCCAAUCUACAUCUUUUCUCCUUCUCAAUUUUAGACCAGCAAAAUGUGG